GUUUAAAAAAUUAAAAAAAAAUUAAAAGUGGAAUGAUACAGGAAGAUUAGCAUAGCCACUGCACAAGGAUGAUAUGCAAAUUCUUAAAAUGUUCCAUAUUUUU